rnacentral:misc_RNA from 1 species
AUACUAUACAGGAAUAGUGUGUAGUACUAUGGCAGCAAUAGUUUUUCACUGUAAUAUGUUAGUCAUAUUACAGAGGACAUACCUGGUAGAAAACUGCUUAAAGUAGCUUCAGGUGUAGGCCUUUUGAGUUGCAAUCUAAUUGUUUCUGUACUUCCAACAGUGGAUAUAGAAAGUGGGACAGCCACAUCUGCACUCAGAAGAUGCGAGAGCCUCACCAAAAGUUUGGAUUCCUGUAGUACAAGUCAACAAAAAUAGAGCUGAAUUCUUGAGCACUUUAAGCAUAUCCUAAUCAGUUUGAUUGUUUUAGACAAGUCUUAUAGGGAUCCCUAAAGUUGGCAACUAAAACAAAAUCUUGAUACCUCAAGGUACCUGAAUUGCGCCAGUUAGAAGAAACUUGUUUUUUGGUAAAGGAAUUUUUUCGUGUGAACAAGAAAAGCAUCUAAUGAUAAGCAUGAAAGUUAAUCUUAGUAUACAUGCUAGGUUGACG